rfam:Lactobacillus amylophilus DSM 20533 = JCM 1125 strain DSM 20533 NODE_47, whole genome shotgun sequence.
GAGAACAAGAAGAAGCUCCCGCUUCUCGCCUAUGUUAACUAAGUACCUCUAGGCUAAUCGAUAUAAUCUGUUGAUUAAGAGCGGGAAAAAUUAUUUUUCCCGCUUUUUACUUGUCCU